UACGAAGGGGGCUAGCGUUGUUCGGAAUUACUGGGCGUAAAGCGUAUGUAGGCGGAUCGUUAAGUCGGGGGUGAAAUCCCGAGGCUCAACCUCGGAACUGCCUUCGAUACUGGCGAUCUUCGAGUCCGGGAGAGGUGAGUGGAACUCCGAGUGUAGAGGUGAAAUUCGUAGAUAUUCGGAAGAACACCAGUGGCGAAGGCGGCUCACUGGCCCGAUACUGACGCUGAGGCACGAAAGCGUGGGGAGCGAACAGG
rnacentral:rRNA from 1 species